rnacentral:lncRNA from 1 species
GGGUAACUCCCCUAUCCUUCCAUUCCCCUCACUCCAGCCCUAAACAACCACUUCCUAUCGGUACAGGUUUCCCUAUUCAAGAUGCUUAUAUGAAUGGAAUCGUAUAAUAUGUGGCCUUUGGUGUCCCACUUUUUUCACUUUACAUGAUGAUUUCAAGAUUCAUCCAAGUUGUAGCAGGGACCUUAUUGGAACUUCCUAUGAUUACACCUAAUGCCUGUGUGAGAAUUUCCAGAAGCCUCAAUCCUGCUGUCAUCCUCAUUAAAGAAUCACCUGGAGAGAAGAUGCCUUUGGAGAACUUUAAUCCCCUUCUUUCUUCACUUACCACCUCAUAUAAAGCUAGGAUUGACAGUCAAUUUUACUCUAUUUCUGAGGCCUCGUAAUAUGUGAAGUGAAGGAUAUUGGGAAAGGGGAACUGUCACUGUUCUUUCUCAUCUGUCCCCAACACUAGGCCCUGGAAUGUGGCUACCCCAUUCUUUGGGGGAAGGUAGCAAUUUCCAGUAAUUGGGAGUAUCUCAGAGGAAUCUAAAAG